GGGGGCGUAGCUCAAUUGGCAGAGCGGUCGGCUUAUAUCCGACGAGAGCACCAGAUUAGUGCGCGGUUGCAGGUUCAAGUCCUGUCGCCCCUACCA
rnacentral:tRNA from 1 species